GAACAGGCCGGGCCAAAUACUGAAAGUUGUCACGCGUACUUUUUCUUUUUUUUCCAGCUUGACUCUGUAUACGUCAAAUGGCAGGAAAAAAAAUGUGAAAUUAAGAGAUGUGUGCCGGUGGAUGGAGAACUGCUGGAUGGAUUGGUGGGUUGGUGGGCGAGUGGCCUCAUUGUUUACAGUGAACACUGACCCAAGACUUGGUCGGCGAUGUGAGCAUCACAAAGGGCGAACUUUCCUCGCUAUCCUCGUCGAUGUACAUUUGAGCGAAAGUUUUCUCUGGCCGUUGAUGAGUCGGUUGAGUUGGUUGUUGGCUGUUGAGUGUUGGGCGUUCUGAGCCCUGUGGGCGCGGCUGUUUGCGCACUUUAGUUGGCUCUUUGCUUUUAAUUCACUUGCAGUUGCAGUUUUUCUUUACAAUAACAAUAACAACAACAACAACAACAACUGUGCACAGCAUUAAGUUAAUAAUAAAUAAACGUAGUUUUCUCGCCCGCCAAGUGUAGUAUGGCUUAAA